rnacentral:tRNA from 1 species
GCGGACGUAGCUCAGUUGGUAGAGCGCAACCUUGCCAAGGUUGAGGUCGCGAGUUCGAAUCUCGUCGUCCGCUC